CCGAAGUUUCCCUCAGGAUAGCUGGCGCUCGUCUCGUCGCAGUUUUAUCCGGUAAAGCGAAUGAUUAGAGGUCUUGGGGCCGAAACGAUCUCAACCUAUUCUCAAACUUUAAAUGGGUAAGAAGCCCGGCUCGCUGGCUUGGAGCCGGGCGUGGAAUGCGAGCACGCCUAGUGGGCCACUUUUGGUAAGCAGAACUGGCGCUGCGGGAUGAACUGAACGCCGGGUGAUGAGCAAAUUUUUUCGCCAGGCAUGGAUUUGCAGCAAAUUUCUGCAUUUCGUCAUGGG
rnacentral:ncRNA from 1 species